AAACCUACAAAAUCAGCAAGGGAUCAAAUAAUUAUUGCUCCCACUAUAUUAUAGAAUUUACCAACUGCAUGCUGUCAAUGUGAUGGAAACACUUGCUUACUCACUGACUUUUAGUUCAUUACUAAGUAAGCUGGUUAGUUUAUUACUAAGUACGCUGGUUAGCGAACAACCUAACUAACAUUAGCUUAUCACUUUAUGUCCAAAAGUUGAAGACUAUGCCAUUUACAAAAAUGAUUUGAACAGGUCUGUGUAAAUGUCCGAAAAUUUAUCACAGUUUUGUACUGAAUUUCUUCCGUUUCCACAACUCUUACACACUUAAACCCGCCCCGAUGACCUGACCAAUCACAGCUCUUACACACUUAAACCCACCCCAAUGACCUGACCAAUCACAGCUCUUACACACUUAAACCCACCCCAAUGACCUGACAAAUCACAAUCUUACAUAUUUAACCAGUCCUGUCACUCAGAAUGGUGAGUGCUUGACUGCAGAGCUGAUGACUGAGCUUACGCAGCCUCCUGCAUUCAUGAUGAGAAAUUAACUGAAGAACUGUAUUUAAUGCCAGUUUCAGGGUGCUGUUACUAUGGCCGUCGAUCGAGCGAUUGUGUACAGUCUGACAUUAUUCUGACAUACGUCACUCCCAACUCGGGGCUACAGCCCUGCAAGCAUGCAUACCAGGGAGCAAACGCAUCUCAGAGACAAAGUGAAGGUGCAUACCAGGGAGCAAACGCAUCUCAGAGACGUAGUGAAGGUCGCACUGCAGGAGAACUGCGACUUCGCACACUUUAAGCAUACUUAGCCUCGCCCUGUUUACCAACCCCUCUGCGUAUCGAUAUGCUGUUUUUUGUGUCAGUCUAAAUGUUGACGUUUGUGAAUCUGUGUCCAUAUUAGCCUGCUGUGAAAAGAAUAUCCUCCUUAGAGGACAUCUGUAACCCCAGUAUUCAUCACUUCAAUUUCAAUUCAGUUUUAUUUGUAAAGCACUUUUUACGGAAGACUGUCAGAAAGGCUCUUUAAAGAGUAAAAACAUGGACAAACACAUGAGGUUUAAAAAAAACUCCCCAGUGGGGAGAAAAAACAGCCCAAUGGGGAAAAGCAUGAGCUGUACCCCCAAUCCCCCACGUGCCUCCUUCUGUUACCUCCAAUCCCCCACGCGCCUCCUUCUGUAACCCCCAAUUCCCCCACACGCCUCCUUCUGUUACCCCCAAUCCCCCCACACGCCUCCUUCUGUUACCCCCAAUCCCCCACGCGCCUCCUUCUGUUACCCCCAAUUCCCCCACACGCCUCCUUCUGUUACCUCCAAUCCCCCACGCGCCUCCUUCUGUAACCCCCAAUUCCCCCACACGCCUCCUUCUGUUACCCCCAAUCCCCCCACACGCCUCCUUCUGUUACCCCCAAUCCCCCACGCGCCUCCUUCUGUUACCCCCAAUUCCCCCACACGCCUCCUUCUGUUACCCCCAAUCCCCCACGUGCCUCCUUCUGUUACCCCCAAUCUCCCAUGUGCCUCCUUCUGUUACCCCCAAUCCCCCACGCGCCUCCUUCUGUUACCCCCAAUCCCCCACGCGCCUCCUUCUGUUACCCCCAAUCCCCCACGCGCCUCCUUCUGUUACCCCCAAUCCCCCCACGGGCCUCCUUCUGGAACUCUAAUCCCUUCUGCCAAACUCAGCCCAGUACCACGAGCCCAAGCAGCGGAAGUACACUGAGUACCCCCCACCCCACCCCCCAGACCCCGAUCACCAACGCCCUUUGCCUUUUUCCACACGAUGCAGGCUUGAGGCUAUCUUAGGCCAAUGUAAUGUUAUAACCAAAAACUGCACACAAACAGUGAUGGAAGCUUUGUGUCCCACCUGUAACCACGUAACCACAUAUACCCCCCACCCCCCAACAUUGAUGAAAAAUGACAAAUCUGAGGUAUGAACGAAAUUGUCUGAAACCAUCCAAUUGCUGGUGUGGCUUUCACAUAAGCAGUGGAGCUCUUUAAAUGCCUGAGCCAUGAGUCAAUGUCAAUAUGCCAUUGUUCUGAGUGUGUUUCUGAUUAGCACAGUCCAGGGAAGUCAACAGUAUUGUAUACUGUCUAUACUGGCUCUUGUUUUAUAUUAAGAUGUGACAAUCCACACCACCACAUAUUGUUUUCAUCUCAAAAUACAUAAUUACUGUAACACUAAUUGCAACACAAAUUGUACUCCUAUUGUACAAUUGUACUUUUACUUGAGAGUAAAAAUUGUAGUUACUGUAUUAAUAUUUUUUUAUAUUUAUAUUCAUUUUAAUAACCUUGUGGCGAGAAAGUAGCUUGCAUAAAAAAAUGGUACUUCUAACAAUUCAACCCUAACUUUCUCUUGGAGGAACCCAGUGAGCAAAAGCCGGAAUCUAGACAUUGAGAGGGGUGGGAAUCUAGAAUGAGAUGUUUUAACUAGGUUCACUAGGUUAACUGGAAUAGCUGAUAUUUUACCUGUAUCUCACCUGGCUAUAUCCUAGUUGGCUAGAAAACCUUUCAAAUACAUGUAGCUGGGCACCUGAACUGUGAAAGUUUGUUUCAGACUUUUCACCACAAAAAUGUUCACUGGCUGUUUUGAAUUUUUGCAUAACUCAGUUUGGGUUCAGUUGUUUCAGGUGCAUUUCAUUCAGUAAAAGGGAUAGUACCACUAUAAUAACUGAGUAAUGUAAUGAAGCUUGAAAACAUUGAACUAACUGAACAAAGUCUCCUUAGAAAAAAGGUUUGGAAAACCACCAAAAGGGGGCAGUAUUGUCAUUAUUAAAAAUAGUCCUAUUAUACCUAUAUGUACAACUACAGAUUACUUUGCAGGCUUUAUUUCAACUAUGUCCCACUCAGUCUUGAAUAAUAAAAAUAGUCAUACAUAGAUUUAUAUCAGGUACAGGUGAUAGAAAUAAAAUGUACCCCAGUCUUGUUGGAUAACCAUUUCAAGGGAGCGUCCAUUCACCCUAUGUUUGAAUAACUCACUCAUCGUAGCUGGGUUUGACAUGCUGCUGAUUUAAACCUGGGAUUCUUUUCACAAACAAUUACUUUGAAUGGCUGUUCUCAGAAUUUCACCUUCACUGUUUUGUCUGCAUGUCUUAAUUUUUUAAUAACCAUUGUUGUCAUUUUGGAGUACUGGCCUUGUGAUGAAUAAUGGAUGUAACUCUUAACUGUAGAAAGAAAAGCAGAUGUACUGCAUCAGAAUGUGUAUGCACCUAAUAAAUUAUAUAAAAACUA